AUUGAACGCUGGCGGCAUGCCUUACACGUGCAAGUCGAACGGUAACGGGCCUUCGGGUGCCGACGAGUGGCGAACGGGUGAGUAAUGUAUCGGAACGUACCUUUCAGUGGGGGAUAACGUAGCGAAAGUUACGCUAAUACCGCAUAUUCUGUGAGCAGGAAAGCAGGGGAUCGCAAGACCUUGCGCUGAUUGAGCGGCCGAUAUCAGAUUAGCUAGUUGGUGAGGUAAAGGCUCACCAAGGCGACGAUCUGUAGCGGGUCUGAGAGGAUGAUCCGCCACACUGGAACUGAGACACGGUCCAGACUCCUACGGGAGGCAGCAGUGGGGAAUUUUGGACAAUGGGGGCAACCCUGAUCCAGCCAUGCCGCGUGAGUGAAGAAGGCCUUCGGGUUGUAAAGCUCUUUCGGCCGGGAAGAAAUCGUAUCAGCUAAUACCUGGUGCGGAUGACGGUACCGGCAUAAGAAGCACCGGCUAACUACGUGCCAGCCGCCGCCGCCGUAA
rnacentral:rRNA from 1 species